rnacentral:rRNA from 1 species
GAGUUUGAUCAUGGCUCAGGACGAACGCUGGCGGCACGCUUAACACAUGCAAGUCGAACGAGAACCUCGGAGCUUGCUCCGAGGGGACAGUGGCGAACGGGUGAGUAACACGUGAGGAACCUGCCCCGAAGACCGGGAUAACACCGGGAAACCGGUGCUAAUACCGGAUGCCCUCUCCGGAUCGCAUGAUCUGGCGAGGAAAUGGAUUCCGCUUCGGGAUGGCCUCGCGGCCUAUCAGCUUGUUGGAGGGGUAACGGCCUACCAAGGCUUCGACGGGUAGCUGGUCUGAGAGGAUGUCCAGCCACACUGGGACUGAGACACGGCCCAGACUCCUACGGGAGGCAGCAGUGGGGAAUCUUGCGCAAUGGGCGAAAGCCUGACGCAGCGAUGCCGCGUGCGGGAUGAAGGCCUCGGUUGUAA